rnacentral:rRNA from 1 species
CGCCUUAUACAUGCGAGUUGAACGUAUUUUUACGUAGCGAACGGGUGAGUAAUGCAAAGGUUAUUUGCUUUUAGACCCGGAAUCAAAUACCGGCGUAAAAGGAUAAAUCCAUCUAAAAAUAAGCUUUUGUAGAAUUAGGUUGUUGGUGAGGUAACUGCUCACCAAGCCGACGAUUCUUAGCUGGUCCGAGAGGAUGACCAGCCACACUGGAACUGAGACAAGGUCCAGACUUUUUAGAAAGUCAGCAGUAAGGAAUAUUGGACAAUGAGCGAGAGCUUGAUCCAGCGAUACCACAUGAGUGAAGAAGGCUCUUUGGCUGUAAAACUCGAUAUUUUAGGAAGAGAUUGACAUUACUAAAAAAAAAGUCCCGGCUAACUUCGUGCCAGCAGUCGCGGUAAUACGGAGGGGGCGAGCGUUAUCUGGAAUAAUUGGGCGUAAAGUGUUCGUAGGCUGUAUUUGGCUGUUGAGUGUUAAAGACCAAAGCUUAACUUUGGAUGUGCACUUAAAACGUUUAUACUGGAGUACGGUAUAGGACAAUGGAAUUUUACAAGGAGGGGUGAAAUCCGUAGAACUGUAAAGGAACGCCAAAAGCGAAGGCAAUUGUCUGGGCCGUUACUGACGCUGAGGAACGAAAGCGUGGGUAUCCAACAGGAUUAGAUACCCUGGUAGUCCACGCUGUAAAUUAUGAGUGCUCAUGCUUAGAAUUU